rnacentral:rRNA from 1 species
UGGGGAAUAUUGGACAAUGGGCGCAAGCCUGAUCCAGCCAUACCGCGUGGGUGAAGAAGGCCUUCGGGUUGUAAAGCCCUUUUGUUGGGAAAGAAAAGCAUUCGGUUAAUACCCGAUUGUUCUGACGGUACCCAAAGAAUAAGCACCGGCUAACUUCGUGCCAGCAGCCGCGGUAAUACGAAGGGUGCAAGCGUUACUCGGAAUUACUGGGCGUAAAGCGUGCGUAGGUGGUUGUUUAAGUCUGUCGUGAAAGCCCUGGGCUCAACCUGGGAAUUGCGAUGGAAACUGGGCGACUAGAGUGUGGCAGAGGGUAGUGGAAUUCCUGGUGUAGCAGUGAAAUGCGUAGAGAUCAGGAGGAACAUCCGUGGCGAAGGCGACUGCCUGGGCCAACACUGACACUGAGGCACGAAAAGCGUGGGGGAGCAAAACAGGAUUAGAUACCCUGGUAGUCCACGCCCUAAACGAUGCGAACUGGAUGUUGGGUGCAAUUUUGGCACGCAGUAUCGAAGCUAACGCGUUAAGUUCGCCGCCUGGGGAGUACGAUCGCAAGACUGAAACUCAAAGGAAUUGACGGGGGUCAUA